UACGGAGGGGGCAAGCGUUAUUCGGAAUUAUUGGGCGUAAAGGGCGUGUAGGCGGCUAGAUGUGUCAAAGGUGAAAUCCCUCGGCUCAACUGAGGAACUGCCUUUGAAACUGUCUGGCUUGAGGCCGGGAGAGGGUAGCGGAAUUCCCAGUGUAGCGGUGAAAUGCGUAGAUAUUGGGAGGAACACCAGUGGCGAAGGCGGCUACCUGGACCGGUUCUGACGCUGAGGCGCGAAAGCGUGGGUAGCAAACAGG
rnacentral:rRNA from 1 species